UACGUAGGGGGCAAGCGUUGUCCGGAAUUAUUGGGCGUAAAGAGCGCGUAGGCGGUCCGUAAGUCGGUUGUGAAAGUCGGGGGCUCAACCCUCGGAUGCCGAUCGAUACUGUCGGGCUAGAGUCCGGAAGAGGCGAGUGGAAUUCCUGGUGUAGCGGUGAAAUGCGCAGAUAUCAGGAGGAACACCAAUGGCGAAGGCAGCUCGCUGGGACGGUACUGACGCUGAGGAACGAAAGCGUGGGGAGCGAACAGG
rnacentral:rRNA from 1 species